UGGGGAAUUUUGGGCAAUGGGGGAAACCCUGACCCAGCAACGCCGCGUGAAGGAUGAAGUAUUUCGGUAUGUAAACUUCGAAAGAAUAGGAAGAAUAAAUGACGGUACUAUUUAUAAGGUCCGGCUAACUACGUGCCAGCAGCCGCGGUAAUACGUAGGGACCAAGCGUUGUUCGGAUUUACUGGGCGUAAAGGGCGCGUAGGCGGCAUGACAAGUCACUUGUGAAAUCUCUGGGCUUAACCCAGAACGGCCAAGUGAUACUGUCGCGCUAGAGUGCAGAAGGGGCAAUCGGAAUUCUUGGUGUAGCGGUGAAAUGCGUAGAUAUCAAGAGGAACACCUGAGGUGAAGACGGAUUGCUGGGCUGACACUGACGCUGAGGCGCGAAAGCCAGGGGAGCAAACGGGAUUAGAUACCCUUGUAGUCCCUGAGCGGGCUGGCAAGGCGCAU
rnacentral:rRNA from 1 species